GACGAACGCUGGCGGCGUGCUUAACACAUGCAAGUCGAACGAAGUGGCGAACGGGUGAGUAACGCGUAAUCAACCUGCCCUUCAGAGGGGGACAACAGUUGGAAACGACUGCUAAUACCGCAUACUGAAGGAGGUGAUUGCGUCUGAUUGGCUCGUUGGGGGGGUAACGGCCCACCAAGGCGAUGAUCAGUCGCCGGUCUGAGAGGAUGAACGGCCACAUGGUGACUGAUACACGGCCCAGACUCCUACGGGAGGCAGCAGUGGGGAAUCGGCGGCAAUGGACGAAAGUCUGACGGAGCAACGCCGCGUGAGUGAUGACGGCCUUCGGGUUGUAAAGCUCUGUUAAUCGGGACGCGGUACCGGAAUAGAAAGCCACGGCUAACUACGUGCCAGCAGCCGCGGUAAUUC
rnacentral:rRNA from 1 species